rnacentral:rRNA from 1 species
UAAUCGAACCGUCUAGUAGCUGGUUCCCUCCGAAGUUUCCCUCAGGAUAGCUGGCACUCGGAUUCUUUCAUCCGGUAAAGCGAAUGAUUAGAGGCCUUAGGGUCGAAAUGAUUUUAACCUAUUCUCAAACUUUAAAUGGGUGAGAACUUUGGCUUUCUUGAAUGAAGCUAAAAGAUUCUUAGAAAAAGAGUGCCUAGUGGGCCAAUUUUGGUAAGCAGAACUGGCGCUGUGGGAUGAACCAAACGCCGAGUUAAAGCGCCUAAGCGAACGCAUAUGUGGAAACCAUGAAAGGCGUUGGUUGCUGAAGACAGCAGGACGGUGGCCAUGGAAGUCGAAAUCCGCUAAGGAGUGUGUAACAACUCACCUGCCGAAGCAACUAGCCCUUAAAAUGGACGGCGCUAAAGCGUUCCGCUUAUACUCGGCCGUCAGUGCAUUGGGCAUCUUGAUGUCUUGAAGCAUUGAUGAGUAGGAGGGUCGCGUCGGUGUGCGCAGAAGGGUCUGGGCGUGAGCCUGCCUGGAGCCGCCGACGGUGCAGAUCUUGGUGGUAGUAGCAAAUACUCCAGAGAGGCCCUGGAGGACUGAUGUGGUAGAAGGGUUUCGUGUGAACAGCCGUUGCACACGAGUCAGUCGAUCCUAAGCCCUAGGAGAAAUCCGAAGUCGAUGCGCGAGUCUUGCUAUGCUUUUUGCCCUGUGCGAAAAACAAACAGAGGU